rnacentral:rRNA from 1 species
CACGUAGGGUGCGAGCGUUGUCCGGAAUUAUUGGGCGUAAAGAGCUCGUAGGCGGUUUGUCGCGUCUGCCGUGAAAGUCCGGGGCUCAACUCCGGAUCUGCGGUGGGUACGGGCAGACUAGAGGUAGGUAGGGGAGAAUGGAAUUCCUGGUGUAGCGGUGAAAUGCGCAGAUAUCAGGAAGAACACCAAUGGCGAAAGCAGCUUUCUGGGACGGUACUGACGCUGAGACGCGAAAGCGUGGGGAGCGAACAGG